CUCGGCCGCUCGGCUCUCUUCUCGCCCGCGUCGCCUCGCCCUCCUCCCUCGCCCGCCCUCCUCUCCUCACGCGCAUCGCGUCCUCACCCUCCUCUCACCGCCGCUGCACCGCCCCCGCCUCUCUCCCCAGUCAGGCCACUUCAUCUGCCAGCGAGGAGACCAGGGGCGUCGAAUCCGGUGACCCCCUCCUCUCUACAGGCGAUUCUGGCCGCCCGGACGAAAGGGUCGUGAGCCACCACCACCAUCUUCUCCACCCUGCUUUGUGUAGUGCCAGAUCCGCUAGCAGGCCGUCGAUACGGCGCUUCGUCUCCCCCCGGUGGAUCUGGCCGCUCAGAGCUUCACUGGCGCCGAGGACAGCGAGCUCGCACGGCGGCUCAGGGGCCCCGCCGUGGCCGUGAGGGAGCGCCUUAGCUUCAUGAACGAGUACCUCGCCGAGGACCGCGACCCCGUCAGGUGCUAGGUCGUCGCCGCCGCCGUCGCGUUCGUCACGCUCAUCGUAUUAGGUGUAGGGAGUGUUGAUGAUACCCCAGUAGAACUGCCAAAGAAACUCUACAUAGGUCCCCCAAGUGCCAAAACAAUUCAACUUUCUGAUGGAAGGCAUCUGGCUUAUAAAGAACAAUGAGUCACAGCUGACAGGGCAAGAUUUUCACUGACUGCUCCUCAUUCUUUUCUUUAGUCGAGGUUACCAAGAAUCCCAGGAAUCAAACCAUCGAUCCCUCCUGGAGGAAUUUGGGGCACGACUUUUGAUCAUUAAUUAACACUGUAAAAGCAACACUAUGAAAAAUAUGGGUAAAUCAUCUACUAUCCAGGCUUUCUUAUGAUCUCAUAGUACCUCUCCAUUUUUUUUUUCGUGUCAGCUGUAGUGUGUACAUCUGUUGUUUAUGCUCGCAUCAUCGUCUCCUCUGAGUCAUCUAGAGGGUUGGUAUGCCAAAAAUAAUUCAAACUGCUUGAGUUCAUAUAAUUCAGUGUGCCUUCUAAAAUUGAAGAAUAACCUUUACAUUUAGCUUUUGGGAUAGCCAGCUAGGUAGCAUCUAGGUCUGCGGGUGGUUUGAAAUACAUUCCCAAAGAAAAAGCAUUUUUAGCACUACAAUUUAGGUGCCUUCAUGAAAAAAGGUCUCAUCUGAUCGGUACAAUCUACAGGCCUAGACUUUUAGAAAGCAUUAAUGAUUUACAAUUAUUGCUGUCACACAUGACAAUCCAUUGUUUCUACCUUCAGUUUUGCCUAUUUUUAUCUAUGUGAGGUUCAGCAGCAUGUAAGGAGCCUUAGCACUGCUAUUACUGAUGUGUUGAGUCGGAUUGUAUUAUAUCUGAAUCUCACAAAAAACAUUGCAGACCAUUAUAUUUUAAGAAAUAUUAGAAUGUAUGCAAGUAUAUAUCAUCCUAUGUUCCUAUGAAAUAUGUAUCUAUGGAAUGUGGGACACUAUUCUUUUUGUUGGAUAUAGGAUAGUUUACUUACGAAAUGGAAGUCAACUCUGUUCUAAUUUAAAAUUCACUGUUAAUUUCAUUCUUUAUGAAUAUUACGUGGUGCUGCGUAUAUGUAUUGGUUCCCAAUGUGUAAUAAUUAUAUUGGCAAAAGGUGAUAUUUGUAGAUAUACAAAAAGUUAAGCUUAGUUAGGUGACUUCAUUGUUUCAAUAGAUAGCUUUUCUUUCCAUUUUCUGAAUUGAGGUCAUGAGGGACAUGAAUCUGUAAAUGUCUUGCCAACAGUUUACUCUUGCUGUUAUCAGGGCAUUCAGUCCUACUGUGCUACACUGCUAUGAGUUCUUUUAUCGGACUGCUGGCUACAAGCCAUAACAUUUGGGUUUAGCAUGCCCAUUACCUUAUAAGCUAUAACAGGAUGGAUAUAUCAUAUAUGUAAUGUAUCAUAUACAUAUAUAUAGGCAGCAGCUUGCCCAAAUUGUUGUCUAGCAUGGUAAAGGUACAUUCUUAGAAAUGUGCAAAUGCCUGGUAAUAUUUGGUCAUAUAUGUUUUGUACUGAAGGUGAUAAUCUACAUCCUUUUUAUAUAUGUAUAUGUCAGUAAAAUAAAUAGUAAUACUUCAUACCACACCUAAUGUAUCUAUUAUUUCUUAUUUUGCAACUAUCUGCCUUUAGCCUUUGCAAUUUGUAGAUGGACGAGCUCAUGAACACAAAUGCAAGUAUGAACAGUUGGGGAGCCUCAUAUGUGAGAUAACGACUAAUCCGGAGGAUAUGUUUUUUUUCUUAGUUUUUAUUCAUAAUGUCCACAUUUUGUAGGAGUUCUCCACUAACAUGCUCUGCUGUGUGAUUCUCAGUUCUGUAGUGUGGUCACAACACUAGCUGUCAACUACUCACUGCUCUCUUGGCUCCCAUAUUUGGACCAACACUAUUUGUUGACACUUUAACAUUUGGUGAUAUUUAUCAUGUGCACUGAAUGAUUUGUGAAAUUUGUAAGACAAUUCUAUUUCAUCAAUUACUGUUUAUCCUUGCUCA